CCUACGGGCGGCAGCAGUGAGGAAUAUUGGUCAAUGGACGAGAGUCUGAACCAGCCAAGUAGCGUGAAGGAUGACUGCCCUAUGGGUUGUAAACUUCUUUUAUAUGGGAAUAAAAUGUUCCACGUGUGGGAUUUUGUAUGUACCAUAUGAAUAAGGAUCGGCUAACUCCGUGCCAGCAGCCGAGGUAAUACGGAGGAUCCGAGCGUUAGCCGGAUUUAUUGGGUGGAAAGGGAGCGUAGGUGGAUUGUUAAGUCAGUUGUGAAAGGUUUCGGCUCAACCGGAAAAUUGCAGUUGAAACUGGCAGUCUUGAGUACAGUAGAGGUGGGCGGAAUUCGUGGUGUAGCGGUGAAAUGCUUAGAUAUCACGAAGAACUCCGAUUGCGAAGGCAGCUCACUGGACUGCAACUGACACUGAGGCUCGAAAGUGUGGGUAUCAAACAGGAUUAGAUACCCCAGUAGUC
rnacentral:rRNA from 1 species